GCCAGCAGCCAUAUCACCCAGCAACUCACAACUGGUAACCCACUGAAGCUAAGCAGGUGUGAGCCUGGUCAGUACCUGGAUGGGAGACCUCCUGGGAAAAACUAAGGUUGCUGCUGGAA
ensembl:rRNA 5S_rRNA 5S ribosomal RNA